rnacentral:lncRNA from 1 species
GAGCAGGUAGGCGCCGGCAUGAGCCGGCGCCAUGUUCAUUGGCGGCCGGAGCUGAUGAGCAUAGAAGAAAGCAUAAAGAAGAACAAGGUAAUGAUUCCAUACCGAACUUUUUUAUUAUUAUUAUCUCUUCCUUCCAAUUUUUACUUCCCAUUUUGCAUGAUUAAAGCAUUUGUCAGCUGAAAAAUUAAGUUUAGAUCAUGUAUAAUACUCAUGAUUUUCAUAACAAUAUG